CAUAAGAUGCUGCGUUAAAGCUCGUAGUCGGAUUUUGGGCGAGUGUGGGCUAGCGCUUCUCUGGUCUGAUGGCGUGCGAUCGCCUUUCUGCUUCGAAUCCCGAUGGCGGUGCGCGGCUCUGGGAUGGGUCACUUUACGUUUACUUUGAAAAAUGAUCGUGUUCAGAGCACGCUGUUGCUUGAAUAGAUGGAAUGGAAUAAUGGACUGUACCUUGGUGCUAUUUCAUUGGAUAAGGGACUGGAGUAAUGAUUAAUAUGGACAGUUGGGGCCUUUCAUUUUUCGAUGUCAAAUGCGAGAUUCAUGUAUUUACUAACUAAGAACUUGUGCUUUGGCAUUCAUGUUGGAUGUUUUCAUUGAUCAAAAAUAAGGGAUAAGGGAUCAAAAAAUAUCAUAUACCGCCUAACUCUUAACUAUGAACAAUACCGAUUGGGGAUCAUUGACUGUCCAUUUACGACCUCAUUGGCACCUUGUGAUCAUUCAAAGUUUUUGGGUUCCUGGGGGAGUAGGGGAGCAAGGCUGAAACUUAAAGGAAUUGACCGACGGGAACGGAGCCUAGUGGAGCCUGCGACUUAAUUUGACUCAACUUACCGAAACUUAACAUGUCUGGAAUUGACCGAGAUGGACAGAUUGAAAGCUCUUUCUUGAGUCUAUGGAUGGUGGUGCAUGGCCGUUCUAAUGAUGUGGAUGGAUAUGUCCGGUUAAUUCCGAUAACUUACGAUACCUCCUACUGCUGCCUAGAAAUGCCCAUUUAUAAUGUGUAGCCCGCUUCUUAUAGGGACUAAUCGAGUUCUGAGAAUGUAACAUGGAGGCGAUAACCUGACAUGAUGCCCUUAGAUGUUCUGGACCGUGCGCCCUCUACCCUGAUGGAUGCGAUCAGAUCGAACCUUGACCAACAUGAUCGGAUAUACCUUGGCUAAAGCCAUCUCGAUGGAGAUAUAUAUUUGCAAUUAUUGAUUCUUCAACGAGGAAUUCUUAUCAAGUUGGGGUGAUCACCUCGCUGUGAUUACGUCCCUGCCCCCUUGUACUCCCAGCCCUUGACGCAUACCGAGUGCAUGCUCCGGUGAAGUGUUCUUUAUGGCGGCGAGGUAACUUCUCUCAGUCAGAUCUUUUAUAAGACUGUAUAAUUCGAAGCAAGGAUACGCAGAUGAAGCUUUCCA
rnacentral:rRNA from 1 species